UGUGCAAUGACUAUUUGCAGA
rnacentral:piRNA from 1 species